AGAGUUUGAGCCUGGCUCAAAAGGAAUGCUAGCUAUAUACUUAACACAUGCAAGUCGAACGUUAUGUUCAGGGAGCUGCGCAGAAGGAAAAGAGGCUCCUAGGUAAAGGUAGCUUAUCUCACCCAGGAGGUGAGAAGAGUUGAGAAAAAAGUGGCGAAUGGAUGCGUAAUACAUAGGAAUCUGUCGAACAGUUUGGGCCAAAUCCUAAAGAAAGCUACAAAGCACUGUUUGAUAAGCCUGCGUAGUAUUAGGUAGUUGGUCAGGUAAAGGCUGACCAAGCCGAUGAUUCUUAGCUGGUCUUUUUGAAAGAUCAGCCACACUGGAUUGAGACAUGGCUCAAACUCCCACGGGGGGCAGAGUGGGAAAUCUUGGACAAUGGGUGAAAGCUCAAUCCAGCAAUAUUGCAUGAGUGAAGAAGUUCAAUGUCACUUGUAAGCUCUUUUAUCGAGUGCGCGAUCAUGACAGGACUUAAGAAAGAAGCCCCGACUAACUCCAUGCCAGCAGUUACGAUAAGAAGGGAGGGGAGGCAAGUGUUCUUCAAAUAACUAGGUGUGAAGGGUACGUAGGUGGUGAAUCGAGUUGAAAGUGAAAGCCGCCAAAAAUUGGCGAAAUGCUGUCAAAUAAUUUACUUAAGUGAGAUAGAGAAAAUUGGAAUUUCAUAUGUAGGGGUGAAAUCCAGAGAUCUACGAAGGAAUUCCAAAAGCGAAGGCAGCUCUCUAGGUCCCUACCAAAGCUGAGGUGCAAAAGCAUAGGGAUCAAACAGGAUUAGAUACCCUGGUAGUCCAUGCCAUAAAUGAUGAGUGUUUGCCCUUAGUCUAUGUGAAUUAGGGGCCCAACUAACUCGUGAAACACUCUGCCAGGGGAGUACGGUCACAAGACCGAAACUCAAAAAAAUUGAUAGAGGCCUGCACAAGUGGUGGAUCAUGAUGUUUAAUUUGAUACAACGCACAAAACCUUACCAGCUCUUGACAUAUGAACAAGAAAAUAUGUCCUUAACGGGAUUGUACUGACUUUCAUACAGGUGUUGCAUGGCUAUCAUCAUCUCAUGGCGUGAGAUAUUUGGUUAAGUCCUAUAACAAUUAAAAACCUUAUUUUAUGUUGCUGAGACAUGCACCUAAGGAGAAAGUCUUUGCAACCAAAGUAAGCCAAGAAGUCGAGUGACGUGCCAGCGCUACUAAUUGAGUGCCAGCACCUAGCUAUGCUGUCAGUAAAAAGGUAGCCGACGCCUUUCGAAUCACUUUCUAUUUCUAGUUAGCACUAUUUUUUAUUGCAGUUAGAGCUCUUAACUAAUAAGAUAGAAAGGGCUUUUCUCUCUUAUUUAGUAAAUUCAAGUUUUUGGCCUUAUCUUGCAGGUGACAACGACAUCAAGUUGAUGGUAGAGAAAUACUCGACAUUAAGGUGAGCCACCUAAUGGUGUGGUAUGUAGUGGGUUUAGUAUGCCCCGUACAAACAAAUGGCUCUGAAACAAACAAAAAGAUGCAUGUCGCAUUCAUGAAAGAUUAGCAGUGAUAUACUGAAGGAAGGUGGGGAUGACAUCAAGUUCGCAUAGCCCUUAUGGGCUAGGCCACACACGUGCUACAAUAGAAAUUACAAUAGGAAGUAAAGGUGUAAGGCGGAGCAAAUCUGGAAAGAUUGCCUCAGUUCAGAUUGUCCUCUGCAACUCGGAAAUAUGAAGUUGGAAUUGGUAGUAAUCACGAAUCAGCAUGCCAUGGUGAAUAUGUACCUGGGCCCUAUACACACCACCCGUCACACCCUAGGAAUUGGUUUCGCCCGAAGCAUCGGACAAAUGAUCACCCAUGAAUUCUGUGGUACACUAGUGCCAUAAAGGCCUUUAUUGGUCUUAUUGACGCAUACCACGGUGGGGUCUUCGACUGGGAUGAAGUUAUAAUAAGGUAUCCAUAGGGGAACCUAUGGCUG
rnacentral:ncRNA from 1 species